rnacentral:rRNA from 1 species
UGAAUCAUGAUAACUUAACGAAUCGCAUGNCCUUGCGCCGGCGAUGGUUCAUUCAAAUUUCUGCCCUAUCAACUUUCGAUGGUAGGAUAGUGGCCUACCAUGGUAUCAACGGGUAACGGGGAAUUAGGGUUCUAUUCCGGAGAGGGAGCNUGAGAAACGGCUACCACAUCCAAGGAAGGCAGCAGGCGCGCAAAUUACCCAAUCCCGACACGGGGAGGUAGUGACAAUAAAUACUGAUACAGGGCUCUUUUGGGUCUUGUAAUUGGAAUGAGUACAAUUUAAAUACCUUAACGAGGAACAAUUGGAGGGCAAGUCUGGUGCCAGCAGCCGCGGUAAUUCCAGCUCCAAUAGCGUAUAUUAAAGUUGUUGCAGUUAAAAAGCUCGUAGUUGAACCUUGGGCCUGGCUGGCCGGUCUGCCUCACCGCAUGUACUGGUUCGGCCGGGCCUUUCCUCCUGGGGAUCCGCAUGCCCUUCACUGGGUGUGUUGGGGAACCAGGACUUUUACUUUGAAAAAAUUAGAGUGUUCAAAGCAGGCCUUUGCUCGAAUACAUUAGCAUGGAAUAAUAGAAUAGGACGUGCGGUCCUAUUUUGUUGGUUUCUAGGACCGCCGUAAUGAUUAAUAGGGAUAGUCGGGGGCAUCAGUAUUCAGUUGUCAGAGGUGAAAUUCUUGGAUUUACUGAAGACUAACUACUGCGAAAGCAUUUGCCAAGGAUGUUUUCAUUAAUCAGUGAACGAAAGUUAGGGGAUCGAAGACGAUCAGAUACCGUCGUAGUCUUAACCGUAAACUAUGCCGACUAGGGAUCGGGCGAUGUUAUUCUUUGACUCGCUCGGC